rnacentral:piRNA from 1 species
UCUGACGGACAAGAUGGAAAU